rnacentral:rRNA from 1 species
GGGUUGUGAGGUUAAGCGACUAAGCGUACACGGUGGAUGCCCUGGCAGUCAGAGGCGAUGAAGGACGUGCUAAUCUGCGAUAAGCGUCGGUAAGGUGAUAUGAACCGUUAUAACCGGCGAUUUCCGAAUGGGGAAACCCAGUGUGAUUCGUCACACUAUCAUUAACUGAAUCCAUAGGUUAAUGAGGCGAACCGGGGGAACUGAAACAUCUAAGUACCCCGAGGAAAAGAAAUCAACCGAGAUUCCCCCAGUAGCGGCGAGCGAACGGGGAGCAGUCCAGAGCCUGAAUCAGUGUGUGUGUUAGUGGAAGCGUCUGGAAAGGCGCGCGAUACAGGGUGACAGCCCCGUACACAAAAAUGCACAUACUGUGAGCUCGAUGAGUAGGGCGGGACACGUGGUAUCCUGUCUGAAUAUGGGGGGACCAUCCUCCAAGGCUAAAUACUCCUGACUGACCGAUAGUGAACCAGUACCGUGAGGGAAAGGCGAAAAGAACCCCGGCGAGGGGAGUGAAAAAGAACCUGAAACCGUGUACGUACAAGCAGUGGGAGCACGCUUAGG